GUGGGGAAUAUUGGACAAUGGGCGAAAGCCUGAUCCAGCCAUGCCGCGUGUGUGAAGAAGGUCUUCGGAUUGUAAAGCACUUUAAGUUGGGAGGAAGGGCAGUAAGUUAAUACCUUGCUGUUUUGACGUUACCGACAGAAUAAGCACCGGCUAACUUCGUGCCAGCAGCCGCGGUAAUACGAAGGGUGCAAGCGUUAAUCGGAAUUACUGGGCGUAAAGCGCGCGUAGGUGGUUUUGUAAGUUGGAGGUGAAAUCCCCGGGCUCAACCUGGGAACUGCCUCAAAAACUGCAUGACUAGAGUACGGUAGAGGGUAGUGGAAUUUUCUGUGUAGCGGUGAAAUGCGUAGAUAUAGGAAGGAACACCAGUGGCGAAGGCGACUACCUGGACUGAUACUGACACUGAGGUGCGAAAGCGUGGGGAGCAAACAGGAUUAGAAACCCUGGUAGUCC
rnacentral:rRNA from 1 species